rnacentral:rRNA from 1 species
CAGCAGCCGCGGGAAUACAGAGGGUGCGAGCGUUAAUCGGAUUUACUGGGCGUAAAGCGUGCGUAGGCGGCUUUUUAAGUCGGAUAUGAAAUCCCUGAGCUUAACUUAGGAAUUGCAUUCGAUACUGGGAAGCUAGAGUAUGGGAGAGGAUGGUAGAAUUCCAGGUGUAGCGGUGAAAUGCGUAGAGAUCUGGAGGAAUACCGAUGGCGAAGGCAGCCAUCUGGCCUAAUACUGACGCUGAGGUACGAAAGCAUGGGGAGCAAACAGGAUUAGAUACCCCUGUAGUCCCUGUCUCUUAUAC